UACGGGGGGGGCAAGCGUUGUUCGGAAUUACUGGGCGUAAAGAGCUCGUAGGCGGUCUGUCGCGUCUGCUGUGAAAACCCGAGGCUCAACCUCGGGCCUGCAGUGGGUACGGGCUGACUAGAGUGCGGUAGGGGGAGACUGGAAUUCCUGGUGUAGCGGUGGAAUGCGCAGAUAUCAGGAGGAACACCGAUGGCGAAGGCAGGUCUCUGGGCCGCAACUGACGCUGAGGAGCGAAAGCAUGGGUAGCGAACAGG
rnacentral:rRNA from 1 species